UACGUAGGUGACCAGCGUUGUCCGGAUUUACUGGGCGUAAAGAGCGCGCAGGCGGUCGUUCAAGUCGAGUGUGAAAAGCCCCCCCGGCUCAACUGGGGAGGGUCAUUCGAUACUGAUCGACUUUGAAAGGCAGGAGAGGGGAAGCGGAAAUUCCCGGUGUAGUGGUGAAAAUGCGUAGAUAUCGGGAGGAACACCAGUGGCGAAGGCGGCUUCCUG
rnacentral:rRNA from 1 species